rnacentral:rRNA from 1 species
AAAGGGUGCGUAGGCGGUUUAUUAAGUCAGUGGUGAAAGACGGUCGCUCAACGAUUGCAGUGCCAUUGAUACUGGUAGACUUGAGUGAGAUUGAGGUAGCUGGAAUGGAUAGUGUAGCGGUGAAAUGCAUAGAUAUUAUCCAGAACACCAAUUGCGUAGGCAAGUUACUAAGUCUCAACUGACGCUGAGGCACGAAAGUGUGGGUAUCAAACAGGAUUAGAUACCCUUGU